rnacentral:rRNA from 1 species
UACGUAGGUGGCAAGCGUUGUCCGGAAUUAUUGGGCGUAAAGCGCGCGCAGGCGGUCCUUUAAGUCUGAUGUGAAAGCCCACGGCUCAACCGUGGAGGGUCAUUGGAAACUGGGGGACUUGAGUGCAGGAGAGAAGAGUGGAAUUCCUGGUGUAGCGGUGAAAUGCGCAGAUAUCAGGAGGAACACCAAUGGCGAAGGCAGCACUCUGGGACGUGACUGACGCUGAGACGCGAAAGCGUGGGGAGCAAACAGG